AUCCCGAAGUAGAAAGAGUUAGCCUGUCUUGUGGUUAGUGUGUCAAAAUUAUCACUAAAAAUAGGUUAGAGGCGACAUACCAUUCAAUUUCUAUAUAUCUGGUUUAAUCUAUUAAAAUUUAAUUUAUAUGCAGAUUUAAGUAUUUGUUAAAAUAUAAUAGAGGGGCAAGCUCUCUAUAUUAGACUAUAAAUAAAAACAUAAAGAAGGUUUAAUAAUUUUCAUUGAGAGCCAGAUCAAAUUUUACUAGUCUGAGAAGGUUAAACUGUAAAUAACUCUAAACAGAAGAUAAUAAGUAUAUUAGUAAUAAAUAAAUAUUAAUUCAUGUAUAAAGCUACUAUAAGUUUAAGAAAGAGUAAAUUUUUACAGAACUCGGCAAUACUAGUUUCGCAUGUUUACCAAAAACAUCUCUUAGGUGUAUUCUAAGUAACCUCUGCCCUAUGAAUAGUUUAAAUGGCCGCAGUACUUUGACUGUGCAAAGGUAGCAUAAUCAUUUGUCUUUUAAUUGGAGGCUGGCAUGAAGGAGGCGACGAAAUCUAGCCUGUUGGCGUGGAGUAUAAAAUUAACUUGGGGGUCAAAAGGCCCACAUGCCCCAAAGGGACGAUAAGACCCUAUAAAACUUAACUGUGGGGAGAAGCCUGAUGUGUGACCUCUAAGCCCACGGUUUAACUGGGGCGGUUUAUAUAAAAACAAUUAAAAUAUAAAUAUUUUAUAUAGAACCCGAGAGCUUUUAUAGGAAAUGAACAAGUUACUUUAGGGAUAACAGCAUAAUUCUCCCGGAGAGUUCUAAUCGGCGGGAGAGCUUAUGACCUCGAUGUUGAAUUGGGGUGUCUGGUGUAAGUAGAAAUAUAUUAAGAUAGUCUGUUCGACUAUUAAAUCCCCACAUGAUUUGAGUUCAGACCGGCGCGAGCCAGGUUGGUUUCUAUCUUUUGGAGAGCACAGAAUUAAAUUGUACGAAAGGACCUUUA
rnacentral:rRNA from 1 species